AUUGAACGCUGGCGGCAGGCCUAACACAUGCAAGUCGAGCGAGCGGCGGACGGGUGAGUAAUGUCUCGGAAACUGCCUUCUGGAGGGGGAUAACUACUGGAAACGGUAGCUAAUACCUCAUACCAUCAGGUGUUCCCAGAUGGGAUUCGCUAGUCGGUGGGGUAACGGCUCACCUAGGCGACGAUCCCUAGCUGAUGUGAGAGGAUGACCAGCCACCCUGGAAGUGAGACACUGUCCAGACUCCUAAGGGAGGCAGCAGUGGGGAAUAUUGCACAAUGGGCGCAAGCCUGAUGCAGCCAGGCCGCGUGUGUGAAGAAGGCCUUCGGGUUGUAAAGCCCUUUCAGCGGGGAGGCGGUACCCGCAGAAGAAGCACCGGCUAACUCCGUGCCAGCAGCCGCGGUAAUUC
rnacentral:rRNA from 1 species